GGAAUCUUCGGCAAUGGACGAAAGUCUGACCGAGCAACGCCGCGUGAGUGAAGAAGGUUUUCGGAUCGUAAAACUCUGUUGGUAGAGAAGAACGUUGGUGAGAGUGGAAAGCUCAUCAAGUGACGGUAACUACCCAGAAAGGGACGGCUAACUACGUGCCAGCAGCCGCGGUAAUACGUAGGUCCCGAGCGUUGUCCGGAUUUAUUGGGCGUAAAGCGAGCGCAGGUGGUUUAUUAAGUCUGGUGUAAAAGGCAGUGGCUCAACCAUUGUAUGCAUUGGAAACUGGUAGACUUGAGUGCAGGAGAGGAGAGUGGAAUUCCAUGUGUAGCGGUGAAAUGCGUAGAUAUAUGGAGGAACACCGGUGGCGAAAGCGGCUCUCUGGCCUGUAACUGACACUGAGGCUCGAAAGCGUGGGGAGCAAA
rnacentral:rRNA from 1 species